CAUCUAAGCAUGAAGCCCCCCUCGAGAUGAGAUUUCCCAACUUCGGUUAUAAGAUCCCUCAAAGAUGAUGAGGUGAAUAGGUUCGAGGUGGAAGCGUAGCGAUACGUGGAGCUGACGAAUACUAAUCGAUCGAAGACUUAAUCAAU
rnacentral:rRNA from 1 species